rnacentral:rRNA from 1 species
CGCGUAGGCGGCCUGCUAAGUCACACGUGAAAUCCCUCGGCUCAACCGGGGAACUGCGUGUGAUACUGGCGGGCUUGAAUUCGGGAGAGGGAUGUGGAAUUCCAGGUGUAGCGGUGAAAUGCGUAGAUAUCUGGAGGAACACCGGUGGCGAAGGCGGCAUCCUGGACCGAGAUUGACGCUGAGGCGCGAAAGCUAGGUAGCAAACG